AUGGCGGACGCGAAGCAGCAGCAGCCGCCGCAGACGGCGCUGGCGGCCAGCGGCGUGUGGAAGACGGUGAAGCCCUUCGUGAACGGCGGCGCCUCCGGCAUGCUCGCCACCUGCGUCAUCCAGCCCAUCGACAUGGUCAAGGUGAAGAUCCAGUUGGGCGAGGGCUCUGCAACUAGUGUCACCAAGAAGAUGCUUGCUAAUGAGGGAGUUGGUUCCUUUUACAAGGGAUUGUCUGCUGGUUUGCUAAGGCAAGCAACAUACACAACCGCUCGACUGGGAUCCUUCAGGGUUCUAACAAAUAAAGCAGUUGAAGCAAACGAAGGAAAACCACUGCCCCUAGUUCAGAAAGCUGCUAUUGGUCUCACUGCUGGAGCGAUUGGAGCUUGUUUUGGUAGUCCUGCGGAUUUGGCACUCAUCAGGAUGCAGGCUGAUUCAACCUUGCCAGCAGCCCAGCGCCGCCACUAUAAGAACGCUUUUCAUGCACUUUACCGUAUUAUUGCUGAUGAAGGUGUUCUGGCACUUUGGAAGGGCGCAGGUCCAACUGUAGCGAGAGCGAUGUCACUCAACAUGGGCAUGCUUGCCUCCUAUGAUCAGAGUGUUGAGGUACUUAGAGACAAACUUGGUGCUGGAGAACUUUCUACAAUGCUUGGGGCCAGUGCCAUUUCAGGAUUCUUUGCAUCUGCUUGCAGUUUGCCCUUCGACUAUGUUAAGACACAGGUUCAGAAGAUGCAACCUGAUGCUACUGGAAAGUAUCCAUACACUGGGUCUUUUGACUGUGCAAUGAAAACCUUGAAGAGUGGCGGUCCGUUUAAGUUCUACACUGGCUUUCCGGUCUAUUGCGUCAGGAUUGCUCCACAUGUCAUGAUGACAUGGAUAUUCUUGAAUCAGAUCCAGAAGGUCGAGAAGCGCGUCGGCCUUUAA
rnacentral:rRNA from 1 species